CGUAACCUUUGGUAGCUACAGUUAUGACAAGAAUACAUAACCAUGGCUUUAAAUCUAAAAGAUAUCUGAAGGUGUCGGAGAGUCAACAUGCCCGAUGGACCAAAACAUCGACUUACUGCAAUGAUCACACUUUUCGAGUAAGUAAUCCAUUUGAUGCCCGAAAAAUACACGACAACAUCAACAUCAACACAACUACAGUAUAAUAUCAAAUUAAUAAAUUAUAUACGUAAAAUUAUGUUGACCAUGAAGAUAAUCUUUAUAUAGUUUUAAUCCGAGAUUGUUCUGACAUCCAACUGCUGUUUCGUCAGAAAUGAUUGGACUGAAGGACCCACGCUGGCGCAGCCACAGCCAGCUUGUGCAAGUUGUGGCAAACAGCCAUUGGACGUCAGAGCAAUCUUGGACUAAUGAGUUUUAACACCAGUAACUGAGUAAGGUUGAUAUUUGCUUUCAAGAAUAAAGGUCCCAAACUAGUCAUAUUUCAAUUCCACUUUCAAAGGUCCAUUUGAUAAAAAUCAAAUACUCUCCCAUACAUGUAAUACCUCAAUCUUUAUUAACUGUAAAGGUUGAAGUUAGCCCCAGGAUGUAAAGGGAUCAGGUCUGUUUCGUGCCUAGUCCAAAUAAUUAUGACGUCUGGCAAGGCUAUUUUAUUAUUUUUCUGGGACGCCUUCUUAUGACGGUGUCCCAAAAAAUUAAAAUAGCCUUGCCAGACGUCAUGAUUAUUUGGACUAUUUUGACCCCAAAAAACAUGUUGUCGUCCUUCCCUAUGCCUAUAUCACCCUGCUCAGUCGCUCCAUAAUUCUCGUAUCAAGGCUUCAUAACAAGACCAGGCAUUAUCAGCCACGUCACAAUGUGAGAGGAGAAGUUAUUAGCGAAUCACAAUGCGAGAGGAGAUGUUAUCAAGCUUGCUUUCGUCAAGAGUAAAACUGUCUUAGGAAGAGCGAAAAGACCAGAUUCAACCCAGCGAUAAUCUAUAUGUGUCACACACAUUUGUGCCCUACACC
rnacentral:lncRNA from 1 species